UACGUAGGGUGCAAGCGUUAAUCGGAAUUACUGGGCGUAAAGCGUGCGCAGGCGGUUGUGCAAGACCGAUGUGAAAUCCCCGGGCUCAACCUGGGAACUGCUUUCAAAACUGCUGAGCUAGAGUACGGUAGAGGGUGGUGGAAUUUCCUGUGUAGCAGUGAAAUGCGUAGAUAUGCGGAGGAACACCAAUGGCGAAGGCAAUCCCCUGGGCCUGUACUGACGCUCAUGCACGAAAGCGUGGGGAGCAAACAGG
rnacentral:rRNA from 1 species